UACGGAGGGUGCAAGCGUUAUCCGGAUUCACUGGGUUUAAAGGGUGCGUAGGUGGGUUGGUAAGUCAGUGGUGAAAUCCCCGAGCUUAACUUGGGAACUGCCAUUGAUACUAUCAGUCUUGAAUAUUGUGGAGGUCAGCGGAAUAUGUCAUGUAGCGGUGAAAUGCUUAGAUAUGACAUAGAACACCAGUUGCGAAGGCAGCUGGCUAAGCAUAUAUUGACACUGAGGCACGAAAGCGUGGGGAUCAAACAGG
rnacentral:rRNA from 1 species